ACGUAGGGUGCAGGCGUUAAUCGGAAUUACUGGGCGUAAAGCGUGCGCAGGCGGUUUUGUAAGCCAGAUGUGAAAUCCCCGGGCUUAACCUGGGAAUGGCAUUUGGGACUGCAAGGCUGGAGUGCGGCAGAGGGGGAUGGAAUUCCGCGUGUAGCAGUGAAAUGCGUAGAUAUGCGGAGGAACACCGAUGGCGAAGGCAAUCCCCUGGGCCUGCACUGACGCUCAUGCACGAAAGCGUGGGGAGCAAACAGGA
rnacentral:rRNA from 1 species